GACAGAGGGUGCAAACGUUGCUCGGAAUCACUGGGCGUAAAGGGGCGUGUAGGCGGGACAGUAAGUCGGGCGUGAAAUCCCUGGGCUCAACCCAGGAACUGCACUCGAAACUACUAUUCUUGAGUGUCGGAGAGGAAAGCGGAAUUCCUGGUGUAGAGGUGAAAUUCGUAGAUAUCAGGAGGAACACCAGUGGCGAAGGCGGCUUUCUGGACGAUAACUGA
rnacentral:rRNA from 1 species